rnacentral:rRNA from 1 species
GGGAUAGAUACCCGUCUAUUCAUGAAAUAAAUAUAAGGUCGAAUAUUACGAACUCAAGUUUAAAAUUCAAAGAUUUUGGCGGUGUCUUAUAAAACCAGGGGAACCUGUCUCAUAACUCGAUAGCCCACGUAUUACUCCCCCUCCUCUUGAAUCCCAGCUUGUAUACUGCCGUUGUAAGCAUACCUUUAAAAGAACUAGUGUGCCGCUAUGAUUAGCUCCCUAACUCAUAUACAUCAGGUCAAAGUGCAGUCAAUAAGGAGGUGAUGAUGGGUUACAGCCUCAAUAUAGAUGUGAAUUAAAAAAUAAAAAAAUUUCAUGAAAAUGGACUUGACUGUAAUUAAAAACCAUUUUAAAAUAAUGAAUAGCCAUCUAAGACAUGCACACAUCGCCCUCACUCACCAAAUU